rnacentral:rRNA from 1 species
AUUGAACGCUGGCGGCAGGCCUAACACAUGCAAGUCGAACGAGUGGCGGACGGGUGAGCAAUGUCUGGGAAACUGCCCGAUGGAGGGGGAUAACUACUGGAAACGGUAGCUAAUACCGCAUACCAUCGGAUUAGCUCAGAUGGGAUUAGCCAGUAGGUGGGGUAACGGCUCACCUAGGCGACGAUCCCUAGCCGGACUGAGAGGAUGACCAGCCACACUGGAACUGAGACACGGUCCAGACUCCUACGGGAGGCAGCAGUAGGGAAUAUUGCGCAAGGGGCGCAAGCCUGAUGCAGCCAUGCCGCGUGUAUGAUGAAGGCCUUCGGGUUGUAAAAUACUUUCAGCAGGGAGGCGUUACUCGCAGAAGAAGCACCGGCUAACUCCGUGCCAGCAGCCGCGGUAAUAC